CAGUCGUACUUAUGGGUAAUCAACCUUUUGAGUUCGGUCUUGUGGGUUUGAAGAGUUUCAAAGCCUUCGGAUUUGUGAGAUUGGGAUCUCUUGGUGCACUUUUUUCGUACGGUUUAGUCAACAUCGGUUUUAAUCAUUAUAAAAUGGUUGAA
rnacentral:rRNA from 1 species